UACGUAGGCAGCGAGCGUUGUUCGGAGUUACUGGGCGUAAGGAGUGCGUAGGCGGUUUUCUAAGUUUGGUGUGAAAUCUCCCGGCUUAACUGGGAGGGUGCGCCGAAGACUGGAAGGCUUGAGUAUGGGAGAGGUAAGCGGAAUUCCUGGUGUAGCGGUGGAAUGCGCAGAUAUCAGGAGGAACACCGAUGGCGAAGGCAGGUCUCUGGGCCACUACUGACGCUGAGAAGCGAAAGCAUGGGGAGCGAACAGG
rnacentral:rRNA from 1 species